AGCUUUGCCCUAUCCCAUAGCCUGGAGCCACCACAGGAGGGGCACUCCACUCUCUUGGGCUCCUGGAGCCUCAGAGGCAGAGCCAGCCGGGAGUGCAGGAGGGAGAACUUUCCUGUGGACGUCCUGUGUUCUCCAGACGCAGAGAACCCUCAUCAACCGAGGGGGAGGUCACUUCCGAAUCCACAGAUGGCGUGUGAGUGCAUGGCGAGCGCCUCCAGGACACACUUACUGUUCCCUUGCUCUGGCCAGACGCCAGCCGGACCCUGUGUGUGCGCGCCGUGCUGCUCUUUGCAGCUGCCUGCAAGGGGUUCCUGCGAAGACCAGCACCUUGGGGAAGAGCCUGCGGCUGAACUUGAACUCGCAGCUACCUGAGUCAGACCUGUGCUUUUUCACCUCUACGGAAGAUGUCAGAGCGUUUCCCUAGCAAUGUUUUAGAAGUUACUUCUGUCUGGAAAAAAAUGGAAAAAAUGGCAAAUUAUGUUAUGUAUAAUUUGAUAAUUUUAAAGAAUUAAUGAUGUAAUUAUUACUCAAACCCA
rnacentral:lncRNA from 1 species